CAAGCAGAUCACCUUAUCGCUGUCCGCUUUAUGCGGAGAGAGGAAAGUCCGGACACCGUAGUGCAGCAUAGCGGGUAACGCCCGUCCGUCGUGAGAUGAGGACAAGUGCAGCAGAAAGUAUGUACAGGUAAGGCUGUAGUGAAACCAGGUAAACUCUAUGCGGUGCAACGCCAUGUAUACCAACGCCUAAGGGUUGCGCGCCCAAUGUUGGAGGGUAGGCGGUUUGAUCUUGAUAGUAAUAUCAAGGCUAGAUAAAUGAUAAGGAGUCCGUCUUUGAUGGAUUACAGAAUCCGGCUUAUGAUCUGCUUUUUUU
rnacentral:RNase_P_RNA from 1 species